rnacentral:miRNA from 1 species
AAAUGCAUUUGCUGUGGGUGAC